rnacentral:rRNA from 1 species
AUACGGAGGGUCCGAGCGUUAAUCGGAAUUACUGGGCGUAAAGCGCGCGUAGGUGGAUGUAUAAGUCAGAUGUGAAAGCCCUGGGCUCAACCUAGGAACUGCAUUUGAAACUGUACGUCUAGAGUAUGGUAGAGGUGAGUGGAAUUUCAGGUGUAGCGGUGAAAUGCGUAGAGAUCUGAAGGAACAUCAGUGGCGAAGGCGACUCACUGGGCCAUUACUGACACUGAGGUGCGAAAGCGUGGGUAGCAAACAGGAUUAGAAACCCGAGUAGUCC